GACGAACGCUGGCGGUGUGCUUAACACAUGCAAGUCGAACGGAAAGGCCCUGCUUUUGUGGGGUGCUCGAGUGGCGAACGGGUGAGUAACACGUGAGUAACCUGCCCUUGACUUUGGGAUAACUUCAGGAAACUGGGGCUAAUACCGGAUAGGAGCUCCUGCUGCAUGGUGGGGGUUGGAAAGUUUCGGCGGUUGGGGAUGGACUCGCGGCUUAUCAGCUUGUUGGUGGGGUAGUGGCUUACCAAGGCUUUGACGGGUAGCCGGCCUGAGGGGGUGACCGGCCACAUUGGGACUGAGAUACGGCCCAGACUCCUACGGGAGGCAGCAGUGGGGAAUAUUGCACAAUGGGCGGAAGCCUGAUGCAGCAACGCCGCGUGCGGGAUGACGGCCUUCGGGUUGUAAACCGCUUUCGCCUGUGACGAAGCGUGAGUGACGGUAAUGGGUAAAGAAGCACCGGCUAACUACGUG
rnacentral:rRNA from 1 species